UUGUUGGUAAGGUAAAAGCUUACCAAGGCUUCGAUCAGUAGCUGGUCUGAGAGGACGACCAGCCACACUGGGACUGAGACACGGCCCAGACUCCUACGGGAGGCAGCAGUGGGGAAUUUUGGACAAUGGGGGCAACCCUGAUCCAGCCAUGCCGCGUGAGUGAAGAAGGCCUUCGGGUUGUAAGGCUCUUUCAGCCGGAACGAAACGGUUACGGAUAACACCCGUGACUACUGACGGUACCGGAAGAAGAAGCACCGGCUAACUACGUGCCAGCAGCCGCGGUAAUACGUAGGGUGCGAGCGUUAAUCGGAAUUACUGGGCGUAAAGCGUGCGCAGGUGGUUUUGUAAGUCAGAUGUGAAAGCCCCGGGCUCAACCUGGGAACUGCGUUUGAAACUACAAGACUAGAGUGUGGCAGAGGGGGGUGGAAUUCCGCGUGUAGCAGUGAAAUGCGUAGAGAUGUGGAGGAACACCGAUGGCGAAGGCAGCCCCCUGGGUCAACACUGACGCUCAGGCACGAAAGCAUGGGGAGCAAACAGGAUUAGAUACCCUGGUAGUCCAUGCCCUAAACGAUGUCAACUAGUUGUCGGGCCUUUACGGGCUUGGUAACGUAGCUAACGCGUGAAGUUGACCGCCUGGGGAGUACGAUCGCAAGAUUAAAACUCAAAUGAAUUGACGGGGACCCGCACAAGCGGUGGAUUAUGUGGAUUAAUUCGAUGCAACGCGAAAAACCUUACCUACCCUUGACAUGUAUCGAAGCCCGCAGAAAAGCGGGGGUGCCCGAAAGGGAACGAUAACACAGGUGCUGCAUGGCUGUCGUCAGCUCGUGUCGUGAGAUGUUGGGUUAAGUCCCGCAACGAGCGCAACCCUUGUCAUUAAUUGCCAUCAUUUAGUUGGGCACUUUAAUGAGACUGCCGG
rnacentral:rRNA from 1 species